rnacentral:lncRNA from 1 species
CGGCAUAUCAAAGAACCCCAAUUAUUCAAUUUUUGAUGAAAUCACACAAAGUUCAAUUUUGGACCCUUUGGGCCCCUUAUUCCUAAACUGUAAGGACCAAAACUCCCAAAAUCAAACCCAACCUUCCUUUUAUGGUCAUAAACCUUGUGUUUAAAUUUCAUAGAUUUCUAUUUACUUAUACUAAAGUUAUGGUGCAAAAACCAAAAAUAAUGCUUAAUUGGGCCCCUUUUUGGCCCCUAGUUCAUAAACUGUUGUGACCUCAACUCCAAAAAUCAAUCCCAACCUUCCUUUUGUGGUCAUAAACCUUGUGUUAAAAUUUCAUUGAUUUCUAUUUACUUAAACUAAAGUUAUUGUGCGAAAACCAAGAAUAAUGCUUAUUUGGGCCCUUUUUUGGCCCCUAAUUCUUAAACUGUUGGAACCAAAACUCCCAAAAUCAUCCCACCUUCUUUUGUGGUCAUAAACCUUAUGUCAAAAUUUCAUAGAUUUCUAUUUACUUAAACUAAAGUUAUAGUGCGAAAACCAAGAAAAUGCUUAUUUGGGCCCUGUUGACCCUAAUUCCUAAAAUGUUGGGACUAAAACUCCCAAAAUCAAUCCCAACCUUCCUUUUGUGGUCAUAAACCUUGUGUUAAAAUUUCAUAGAUUUCUAUUCACUUUUACUAAAGUUAGAGUGCGAAAACUAAAAGUAUUCGGACGACGACGACGCCGACGACGCAGACGACGAUGCCAACGUGAUAGCAAUAUACGACGAAAAUUUUUUCAAAUUUUGCGGUCGUAUAAAAAAAUUUA